rnacentral:rRNA from 1 species
GGAAAGAUGAAAAGAACUUUGAAAAGAGAGUUAAACAGUAUGUGAAAUUGUUAAAAGGGUACCGUUUGGAGCCAGACUGGCUUGUCUGUAAUCAAUCUAGGCUUCGGCCUGGAUGCACUUGCAGGCUAUGCCUGCCAACGACAAUUUGACUUGAGGGAAAAAACUAAGGGAAAUGUGGCCCACUUGUGGGUGUUAUAGUCCCUUAGAAAAUACCUUGGGUUGGAUUGAGGAACGCAGCGAAUGCUUUUUGGCGAGUUUUCCAGGAAGGUUUUCUGAGGUACUACGGUAUCAAGGUUGAUCUUUUUGGUUAUACUUCUAUUCGCUUAGGUUGUUGGCUUAAUGACUCUAAAUGACCCGUCUUGAAACACGGACCA